CGGCGAGCAGCAGGCAGCAGCAUGUUGAAGAGAAGUAUAUAGUGCUUCUCCCUUCUCGUUCGUUGUCCUUAAAAUGCUAUCUAGAGUGCGUUGUUGCCACGAUGGGAGGUUUGUUUAUUUGUUUAUUUUUGUUUGUUUAUUUGUUUAUGCGUUUGGUGGUGGCCCCCUAAUGUUACUUAAGUUAAAGUGUAUUUACCAGGAUAUUCGGGAGAAUUAUCAAUCACGUCUCCUUACAUGCAGCCCAUUCAAUUAUUUUAGGACCACCGACAUCAUCUAAGCAAGAAACAAUUCGAUUUAUUCACUUUAAUAAUGAAAAAGCGAAACGACGAAUGUACACUUUUCACGGGUUUCUCUGCGACCGACGGCAUCUCCAUAGAAAUCGGGUGACUUAAGUAACAUCGAAAAAUAUUUGGAUCGGAUGGAGAUUACGUCAAAAAGCAAUUUGACUGUAAAAAAAAAAAAAAUGGGAUGUGAUCCUAUAUUCGGACAGUAUGUAGUGUAAUAGCUCGACUUUGUUUACCUUUGUUACUCUCGACGUAAUGAAAAUUUGCUCUUGAUUUUUAGGCAACGAUAAUUCCUGUUAAAGGUGGGCGUUGGCCAAAUAUGGAUUUUUAGAUAUAAUCCUAAAUAGGACCUAGAUUAUUUAAUACUCUAGUAACCUCAAGUCCGUGCUCUGUCACAAUGUUUCAUUGUGAUUAAUCAACACUCAGAGGGGUAAAAUAUAAAAUUUGGGGUGAAUUUGAAAGAAAGGGUACUUGGAGUGUACUGCCCACUGGACAAUUCUGAAGCCUGGCCAAGUGAGUGGGGUAUGGGUUUAUUUGAUUGAACGUCAUUUCCAAUGUAUAUAUUGAUACAUUCAAACCAUUGGCAUUUGAGAUAAGACAGAGAUAGGAUGCGGAGGGCCCGCUUAGGAGGAGCGUAACCCAUGUUAUGGUUUCCAUUUAUUAAAUAGUUCAGAUAGGCUAGAAAUGACAGGUUUAUAGUGAGAGAAUGUACCAUAUUGGGAAAGCAUAAUUUUCAUAGGGUUCAAAGCUGUUGAGCUGUUCGUUUGUAGACCUUCCUUCAAAACCAAUUUGGCACUAGAACAAUUUUAAUCUUGUUCUGCAUUAUUCACAUGUUGCAAUUAUUGAAAAGAGCUCGAUAUAAAAUAGCCACAGAAAACAGACGUUAAGGCUCCAAAAUUUCUCUAAAAACUUGUGUAAAGAUUCCUAUUCGACAACAUGAUGGCGCUGGCGUUGCAAAACUUACACUAGACACUAAGUGCUGGUAGCGCCAAGUGGCAAUUUUCAGCAGGUAUUUAUCGGUAGUAGCGCCAAAUUGGUCGAAGGUGAUAAAUGUAUAGAGAAAAUCAGGAGAUGCUAGCGCUACGUAACGGCAACGUUUCCACUUAACUUUACACAAGUUUCUGACCGAACUUGGACAUCUGGUCUCUGUGAGAUAGCUUAAUACAAUUAAAUCGAAAAGCCAAAAUCUUACUGAGUAGUUUAGCUGUUCUGAUUUCGGUUCAGUUUGUUGAGGUCGGGUAUAGUUUCUGAGUAUGGAUGCCCAUUUUGAAAUAACUCAUAUUAGCACAGAGUAAUAGUUUUAUUGCUAGGGAACUUUCUUUUGGGAUCGUCUUUUCUUCAUACAAUUCUUAUUAUUCAUACUAUACUAAUCGUGUUCAGUCUUAGAAAAUGUUAUAUAUGUUUAAGCCCCGUUCUAGAUUUGUUUGUUAUUCAUAUCUUAUGCAUUGCAGCUCGAGAGAGGUUACCAAAUAUGGGUUCUUUUUCUCAUCCGCAAUAGUUUGGGGGAGGGGGCGAUCUGAGAGCUGAAUAGAGGCAAAUAAAAUAGGGAACACAACACCAUGACCCAAACGACUAACCAACGCAUGCAACUCACACUUAACUUGUUCUAUUUAGGGGAACCUCAUGUACCAAUAUUACCUACCUGAGAACAAAUGGGAACACGGCCAGAUUUUCAAUAGGAAGAAGGAAAAAAGCGAGAAAACGUAAGAGAGUAAGCAGUCAGAAAGGAUUAGGCCAUUUGGAAACAGCCAAUUUAUACUGGACGGAACUGGUAAGUAGGAUAAGAAUUGUAAAAGGUGUGUGCUUGCAUGAUUUACCUAUUAUAGAAUUACUUAUUAUAGAAUUACCUAUAAGCCACAUGAAAACCUCAUUUCCUUCAAUUACUACUUCAUUACAGCACACACCUAAUAAUGAUCACUAACAUUCAUAUAGUUUCUGCAUUAUCUACAUUAUAAUCAAAAGGCGAGUUGCAAAGUAUAAUUACCAUGCAUAGAUAUAAGUUAAUGUGCCAGAACCUGGACGGACACGAGCCUACCCAGGGGAGGACCCGGAUACGACCACCCAUGUGUGUCUAGAGUAUCGCACGAGCUGACGAGUGCAACGGGAAGGACAGUAGGUGUAUAGACUAGGGGGUUAGUCCCUAGAUAAGCCGACUUAGCGGUUGGCACAGCCUAUACACUGAACAAUUACAAUUACAAUUACAAUUAAUUCCUGUUAAACGCAGUAAACAGCACCUAUAUGGCACAACAAAAAAAAAAAAAAAAUCCUUCCCGCCGCUCGAGACAAACCUUCCUAACAACGUAUCACGCAUGAACAGAGCUUGCUUGCGAACAUUUGCAGCAGCUGUCAAAUGUUGACGUAAAAUCGAACCAGAGAUGCAAGAUUUUUCGGUUUCACACAAAGUACACGGCGAAUGAGAACAACCUAAAUUUGAGUUUGGUUCACUCAUAAUCGCCAAAAGUGCAGGAACUCAGCGAUGACUAAAAUUUGUCUCAUGUUUUCCCAGGUUUUUCCAGGGUUUUCCAGGGAAAAAUUCCAGUUAAUGUUUAGGAGGGAUUAUACACAAUUUAUAACCAUUAUCGGUAAGGUCAAGUGAUGGUUCGUGUUUAUGCGGGCUAACAAAUCAAAUCAUUUAUAUAUAUGCUCUGUCACAAUGUUUCAUUGUGAUUAAUCAACACUCACAGGGGUAAAAUAUCAAAUUUAGGGUGAAUCGAUCUUGUUUUCCGUACUGCGUACCAAUGCUACCGACGACAUCCCUGGCUCCCACACCUGGACCCUACCUAUCAACUCAACCAACGACUUUAUUUUCCUCCCGAAGGAAGGCGUGAUCAGAGAUUUUAUGCCUCAGAAAAUCCCGGCGGCGCCGACUGGGAUUCAACCUUUAGGGUGAUAGGCUCUCACUCUCACUCUUACCACUACACCACUACGAUAUUAAAAGUAAUUUUUCCAAACAUUUUUUAACAAGUUCGUCCAGUUUUUAUUUUCACCUACUCUUAGAUAUUUCAAAUAGUGUAUGCAAAAUUUCAAAAAAAAUCAUCGAGUGUUGUUUCUUUUUGAAUAAACAUUGAAUUUGAUAUUUCCUUAACUACGUAAAUAUGGUGCCUUCACGGUAAUUUAGCACAAUCUCCAAUACGGCUGCUCAAGAAGUGAUGCGAUGCAUUCGUUAUCAAUAGAAAAGUUUACUUUUAGAUUGUCUAAAAAAGAUAUGUAUAUAAUGGCUUUGGGCUUAUUUCUAGAUGCUAUGGACAAAGAGCAGAAUAAUUAAAGGAUGCUUUGUUCAUGCAUCAUACAUCAUUUACACUAGAGAAUGGUAUGAUCGCUGCAACUGAUACAAUAUGAUUACUCCGGAUCUAUCUGAUGCACUGCCUCACGAUUUAGGAACGAAUUAGAGAAGGAAGCAGCAGAAAUUCAAUGAGCUCUGCAAUUUCUGAAAACAAACAAAACUAAUGGGAUACAAUUAUAUUCUUCAAUGAGUAUUGUGUAUAAGGAGGAUAACCUAAUGACCAUGGCUACAAUUAAACAGUGUUGAUUAGAUAAACUAUCUCUAAAAGCGUCUAAUGUUGAAACAUCUAGUGUCCUGCGUCAACUCUACAUUUAAGCAUUUGACUGUUUGUCUGAUCAUCCGGUCAGGAUAUAGUCGGAUCAGCAGGGGAUACUGUACUUACUAACUAUGUACAUUCUAUGAUGAUAUGAAGGAUAUGGUUUCGCAGCUUUUUUAUGGCGUAGGAUGAUUUUACCUUCCUUGGCUGUCUGAUAAAAGUGCUGAAAAUACUCUGUUCAGAGCACUUAAAACUCCCAAGAACGGUCUCAUUUUUCACGCUAGUUUGAUUGGUUCAGCUGGAAUACGUCGUACCACACAUGCCGGCUCACAGUUAAAUCUGACUAAACAUCUAGCGUCGACUGUUCAUUAAAGGUGCUGAAAAUACUCUGUUCAGAGCACUUAAAACUCCCAAGAACGGUCUCAUUUUUCACGCUAGUUUGAUUGGUUCAGCUGGAAUACGUCUUACCACACAUGCCGGCUCACUGUUAAAUCUGACUGAACAUCUAGCGUCGACUGUUCAUUUAAGGUGCUGAAAAUACUCUGUUCAGAGCACUUAAAACUCCCAAGAACGGUCUCAUUUUUCACGCUAGUUUGAUUGGUUCAGCUGGAAUACGUCGUACCACACAUGCCGGCUCACUGUUAAAUCUGACUAAACAUCUAGCGUCGACUGUUCAUUUAAGGUGCUGAAAAUACUCUGUUCAGAGCACUUAAAACUCCCAAGAACGGACUCAUUUUUCACGCUAGUUUGAUUGGUUCAGCUGGAAUACGUCGUACCACACAUGCCGGCUCACUGUUAAAUCUGACUAAACAUCUAGCGUCGACUGUUCAUUUAAGGUGCUGAAAAUACUCUGUUCAGAGCACUUAAAACUCCCAAGAACGGUCUCAUUUUUCACGCUAGUUUGAUUGGUUCAGCUGGAAUACGUCGUACCACACAUGCCGGCUCACUGUUAAAUCUGACUAAACAUCUAGCGUCGACUGUUCAUUUAAGGUGCUGAAAAUACUCUGUUCAGAGCACUUAAAACUCCCAAGAACGGUCUCAUUUUUCACGCUAGUUUGAUUGGUUCAGCUGGAAUACGUCUUACCACACAUGCCGGCUCACUGUUAAAUCUGACUGAACAUCUAGCGUCGACUGUUCAUUUAAGGUGCUGAAAAUACUCUGUUCAGAGCACUUAAAACUCCCAAGAACGGUCUCAUUUUUCACGCUAGUUUGAUUGGUUCAGCUGGAAUACGUCGUACCACACAUGCCGGCUCACUGUUAAAUCUGACUAAACAUCUAGCGUCGACUGUUCAUUUAAGGUGCUGAAAAUACUCUGUUCAGAGCACUUAAAACUCCCAAGAACGGUCUCAUUUUUCACGCUAGUUUGAUUGGUUCAGCUGGAAUACGUCGUACCACACAUGCCGGCUCACUGUUAAAUCUGACUAAACAUCUAGCGUCGACUGUUCAUUUAAGGUGCUGAAAAUACUCUGUUCAGAGCACUUAAAACUCCCAAGAACGGUCUCAUUUUUCACGCUAGUUUGAUUGGUUCAGCUGGAAUACGUCGUACCACACAUGCCGGCUCACUGUUAAAUCUGACUAAACAUCUAGCGUCGACUGUUCAUUUAAGGUGCUGAAAAUACUCUGUUCAGAGCACUUAAAACUCCCAAGAACGGUCUCAUUUUUCACGCUAGUUUGAUUGGUUCAGCUGGAAUACGUCGUACCACACAUGCCGGCUCACUGUUAAAUCUGACUAAACAUCUAGCGUCGACUGUUCAUUUAAGGUGCUGAAAAUACUUUGUUCAGAGCACUUAAAACUCCCAAGAACGGUCUCAUUUUUCACGCUAGUUUGAUUGGUUCAGCUGGAAUACGUCGUACCACACAUGCCGGCUCACAGUUAAAUCUGACUAAACAUCUAGCGUCGACUGUUCAUUUAAGUAUUUGACUUUUUGUUUAUUAGAUCACCCGGUCAGGAUUUUAUCGGAUCAGUAGGGUAUACUGUACUUAAAACUACAUUUAUUGAUGAUAUGAAGGAUAUGGUUUCGCAAGUUUUUUUAUGAUAUAGAAUGAUUUUACCUUCCUUGGCUGUCUGAUAAAAGUGCUGAAAAUACUCUGUUCAGAGCACUUAAAACUCCCAAGAACGGUCUGAUUUUGCACGCUAGUUUGAUUGGUUCAGCUGGAAUACGUCUUACCACACAUGCCGGCUCACUGUUAAAUCUGACUGAACAUCUAGCGUCGACUGUUCAUUUAAGGUGCUGAAAAUACUCUGUUCAGAGCACUUAAAACUCCCAAGAACGCUCUCAUUUUCCACGCUAGUUUGAUUGGUUCAGCUGGAAUACGUCUUACCACACAUGCCGGCUCACUGUUAAAUCUGACUAAACAUCUAGCGUCGACUGUUCAUUUAAGCACGCAGAGAAAUAUAUUUUAAUUUCAACAAUAUUCUGUAUUGAAUUCAAUAAAAAAAAAAAUAGUUGUCUCCCGGCUAACAAUAAAUAUUGUUGACACAAUAAUUUUUUGUAUUGAAUUCAAAGAAAAUAAUUUUUAUUUUUAAAUCAUUUUCA